GAUGUGUUUUUUUUCUUUUUUUGGUUUUAAUAAGGCUAGCAGAUAGUAGUAUAGUAUAAAGUUGCUGGUUCUCAGAUUUUAUUGGAGCAUCUUGCAUUUGUUGUAAGCACAGUAUUUCAAGUACCACUGUUGGUAGCUUCUGAAAUUCCUAGUCUUCUUGAGAUUUCACUUGGCAAUUAGUUUCUUUAGUAUUGGAGUUUAGUUGGUGGCUAUUGCAUAGGUAUGGCUAAGACUAGUAAAGUGCAAAUUUAAUAUUGUAACAUUUAUUAUGAAAUGGUUUUGUUAACAUAGUUUUUUACUUUAUUAAAAAAAACACAGAUUUUUACAUGCAUGCUUUUCUUUUUAUUGAAAAGAAAAGGAAUCAUUAUUACUCCAUGGUAUUUGGAAAUGAGAUUCAGUAAGGCACUUUUUGUUUUGAGCUUUGUUUCUUAUUUUAUCUCUCUUUUCUGAAAAAACCCUAAUUUGUUUCUAAUUCUCUAAAGUUCAUCUACGCAUCUUGUCUCUCCCUGCCUUAACUGGGAAUCACUCAUUCCAGUACAAAGGGACCAAGCCCAAAUGAAUCCUCAUCCUAUUUCUCAGUUCGUGUGUAUGAAUUGUCCUUUCCCUUUCUUUUUCUCCUGAGUUGCAUAGGUCUGGUUUCCUUUACUCUCAAAUGUGAUAAGUUUCAAUUCUUGUAUUUAAUGACCUUAUUUGUUUUAUUUUUCCUCUGAAAUUAGUUUCUCUCUAUGUUCUUUGUUCUUUUGUUUUUCUUGAUUUAUAUUAUUUCUUUAUGGGAGUGAUUUUAGUAACAAUAAGAAACUAGCUUUUGGUGUUGAAGAGAACGACUUUCUGAUCAUCCCUUGAGUAUAGAGUGUAUAGUAAUGUUUGAAGAGUGAAUAAGUUUAAUAUAUUUAAAAGAACUUCUUAAGGUCCGAUUGUUCAUCUCAUUUUCUUCAUCUUUAUUUCUAUUAACAUUGAUUUGGAGAAUCCCUAGGUGUGCAUUGCUUCUCUCUAAUUUUUAAAAAAGUAGUAGUGAGGUGGUAAUCUGGUUUUCGUUUGUCUCUAUCUUUCUCUACCGAGGUAUGGUCUCUCUCUCUCUCUCUCUCUCAAGCUCUCUGUGUUAGCCUUUUUAUCUAAGAUCAAUUUGUUUGUGAUUAUUUGUCUGAAUUUUUUUUAUUCAAGUUAUAAGUUAACUAAUACUGUAGCAUCUUAGUUUAUGCUUCAUGAGUUUUUCUCUGUUGAUGGUUGAAGUUUGUUAUGGUUUCUGUUAUGGGCUCGAAAAGCUCUCCAUAAAUUCCACUUACUGAUUACAGGAAAUUAGUUCUCUGUAGAUUUUUGUUUUGGUUUUGUGUUGUUAUACUAAUAAAAUUAAGUUGCUCUUAGUGGGUUAAUGAAUUUUUUUUUCAGUGUUUCCUUAUCCCAUUUCAUCAUCUUUAAUCUAUAGAGUUUCGGGCAGGGAUUGAAGUAUGAGUAAGGCUCCUUUUUUAUAUGAACCUUUUUUUUUGUAUUUUGUACUUCAAAUCGUAGUAUAUUGACAAAAUCUUUAAAAGAAUGAUUGUAGAGUUCUUUUAUAAAAAUAUAUAUAUAUAUUGGUUUGCAGUUACUCUUUUCUAGCUUUGGUCAAAUCUGGGUUUGCUUUGUUAUUUUCUAGAAGUUAGUUGUACCAAACUAGUUUUUUAAGUUGUUGGUCUCGACAGAGUUGUUAAUUAGUUGUGGUGCUUAAGUAUAGAUGAUUGUUUGAUCUUAUAUGUGUUCCUAGUUAUGGUUGUGGUGGUGGUAUUGUUUUUGUACCAGUGGCAGUAAGGAGUUAUUUAAAUAUUUAUAACUUGAUUAGUGUGCAUAGUAGUUAUUUAAAUAGUAGCGAGGUGGACUCUAGUUUUCGUUUGUCUAUGUCUUUCUCUACUGAGGUUGUUAGGAAAAAAUGUUUUGCCUCAAUGGAAAUUGAUAAUAAUAUUACAACUCUAUGCAAUAAUAUUACAAAUAAAUAUAGAUUGAUUAAAUAAGAUUACAACUCUAUAACUGAAAGUACAAAUAAACAAAAUAGAAGAAGAAGGAGAGAAGAAGAAUGGAAUAGUGAAAAAUACAACUCUAAGCAAAAGAUUACAAAUAAAGUAAAAGUGUUUGGAACACAAGAAAAGAUGAUUACAACUCUAAACAAAAUUACAAGUAAAUAAAACAAGAGGAAUGAGAAGAAAAGAAAUAGAGGAAAUUGUAAGAACAAAACAAAGAAAACUCUCACUUACACAACCUAAGUGAAGAGUGUUGGGGAUCACCAACUUGAACAAGGUUUAAAACCUUUGUCCAAAAGCUUAUUUCCCCCUAACUCAAGCACUAAGGGAUCUCUCUCAGAUAUUGGAAAAUCUUUCUAGAAUUAUCAAGCCUCAAGGUGUUUCUAGCCAAGUGCUCUAAUGGAUAGAAAUGUUGUGUCAUACAAGUGAGCUAUAGGCUCCUAUUUAUAGAGUUUAGAGACAUCCUUUGAAUUUCAAAUUCAAUCAACCCCCAUGGCUAUUACCAAUGUUUAAUUGGAUUAAAAUGGAAUUAAAAAGGAGAUUUGGGAGUUAUUUGGGUUCUUUGAGCCGUUCAACAAAGAUCGAAAAAACUAAAAGAAAAAAAAAAUGGUCAGUUUUUGGCCUGUGGCCGUGGCCACCGACCAUUUUCAGCACUAAAAAAUGUGUUGUUUUUUCAAACGGUUCCAAACCCUCCCAAAUGAUUUUGUAACUCCCAAAACACAUUAUUGGGGUUAAAAUCAAAUCUCAAGCAGCCAUAUCACAUAUGGCUUUAUGAAAUUCAUCUCAAUAUUGUGUAACAACAAUUUUACACAAUAAAGGGUAAUAUUUGGAAGUUACAAAUUUGUAACACCAAAUAUGUUACAUUAUUUGGAUAUAUCUCAUAUAUCUAAAUAUUGUAACUCUCUAUUAUAUGUUACAAUAUGUGACACACUUUGUCACAUUUAUUUAAUCUAAAACAUUAUAUUAUAAUAUAAUAUAAUAUUACAUUAUAUUAUAUUAUAAAAUAAUAUAACAUUCCCCCACUAGAUUAAAUAGUUAUCUAUUGUAACACUUAUUUAAUCAAUCAUUAUAUUUUGAAAUACAACAUAUCCCCCACUUGAUUAAAUAAGAACUCUCUCUUAUAGGAGUCAUUGCAUUAGUGCAUAAAGCAGAGUGUUUUUCAACUUGAACUUUACUAUAGUGUAAUUAUCACAAAAUUUGUUGAAAAUUAGGUUGCACUAGGCAUUGAACCAUCUUUUCAUGAAAAAAAAUUGGUGAUAACACACACACCUUUGCAAUGUUCACUUGAGACCUCUAUGUCUCGCUUUGCACCGUUAAUGAGCAUGUGCACUUUCAAUUCAUAGACGUUCUUGAGAAUACUCCCAAUUCUCAUGAGAGGCGGCACCACCCCUAGGUCCAUAUAGGUAGAAUUCUUACAGUAUUUUGUUACCAAAAAUACUUGUCUUUACAAGACUGAAUUCUAUUAAAAAACCUUUCGGUUUUAACCCUCAACUUGGUAACACACAAGUACUCAAUAUCUCAGAUGGGACAACUAAUAUUCACUUGAUUGACUUGUUGUUACCUAUUGAACCUAACACUAGUUGAAUAACUAGUGUUAAGAUAGGUUACCAUCAAUCAUGAAUCUCUUUAGAGAAUUUAAGUCCCAUCCCUCGAGAAGAUGCAGCCACUAAAUCCCUCGUUAGUGGCUUAGUGAAAGGAUCCGCCAGAUUUUCACUUGUUCUUACAUAGGAUAUUGAGAUGACUCCUCUUUGAAUCAAUUCUCUUACAUAUCCAUGUCUUAGACUAAUGUGUCUAGACUUCCCAUUAUACACUUCAAUGUAUGCUCUAGCCAAUUUCGCUUGGCUAUCACAAUGUAUCGAUAUAGUAGAUACAUUUUCUUUGAUUAGGGGAAUCUCUAUCAACAGAUCCCUUAACCAUUCAGCCUCUUUGUCGGUAGCAGGUAGAGCUAUGAACUCUGCUUCCAUAGUGGAAUGAGAUAUACAAGUUUGUUUCUUGGAACCCCAAGAAAUUGCACCUCCACCAAAUGUAAAUACCCAACCAGUUGUGGACAAGUUGUCCCUAAGAUUGGAUAUCCAACUUGCAUUUGUAUAUCCUUCUAAUAUCGAAGGAAAUUUGGAGUAGUGAAGGCUUAGUCCUUUGGUUUUCUUGAGAUAACUUAGGACUCUUCCAAUUGCCUUCCAGUGAUCCACACUUGGAUUACUUGUAAACCUACUAAGUUUACUUACCGCAAAUGCUAUAUCAGGUCUACUACACUGGGCAGCGUACAUUAGACUCCCUAUAGCACUAGCGUACUCCAAUUGAGCCACCGCUCUUCCUUCAUUCUUCUCUAGUUUUACACUAUGAUCAAAUGGAGUAUUGGGAUCUUUAACCUUGAGAUGGUUAAAUUUGUUCAAUACUUUCUCAACAUAGUGGGCUUGCCCUAACACAAAACCCCCACUAUGUUUCUUUACUUUGAUACCGAGUAUGGUAUCAACUUCUCCAAGAUCUAUCAUCUUGAAGGUUGAUGAUAGAAACCUCUUCGUUUCUUCUAUCCCUUUCAUGCUAUUACUUAGAAUAAGCAUGUCAUCCACAUAUAAGCAAACAAUGAUCACAUAUCCCUUACAAGUUUUGGAAUACAAACACUUAUCUCCAUUGUUAUGUCUAAACCCAUUAGACAUGAUGGCUUGAUCAAAUUUCUCAUGCUAUUGCUUAGGAGCUUGUUUCAAUCCAUAUAAGGAUUUUACAAGUCUACAAACUUUAUGUUCAUAUUUUGGUAGGACAAACCCUUUGGGUUGUUCCAUAUAGACCUCCUCAUUGAGGUCAGCAUUAAGGAAUGUCGUUUUGAAAUCCAUUUGAUGAACAUACAAGUUGUGUAUAGAAGCUAAAGCGAACAAAAUUCUUAUAGAAGUUAUUCUUGCAACAGGCGCAUAGGUAUCGAAAUAAUCGAUACCCUCUUUUUGCCUAAACCCUUUAGCUACUAUUCUAGCUUUAAAGGUUUGGAUAGUGCCGUCAGUGUGGUAUUUUCUCUUAAAUACCCACUUACACCCAAUUGGCUUAGACCUCGGUGGGAGGUCUACCAAUUCCCAAGUGUUACUGGAAAUAAUGGAAUCCAUCUCAUCAUUGAUGGCUUCUUUCCAAAAUGCACUAUCUCUUGAUUGCAUAGCUUCUCUAUAAGUCUUAGGAUCAUCCUCAACGAGAAGUACAGUAGGAAUUUUGCCAAUGACUUCCUCUCUAUUUCCUUCUACCAUGUAGAAUGAAAUUCGUUGAGAAUCUAUCUCAUCCACUACUAGACUUUUAUGAUUUUUAAGCCUUUGACUUCUUCUAGGUUCAAAGGGUUGCUUUACAUCCUUUUGAGAAAUCUCCUCUUGAGAAUCAACUUUGGAUGUAGAAGAUUAAGAAUUGUUCUCAUAUAACAAAUUCUCCUUUAGAGAUGUUGAAACUUGAGAAUUGUUGUCACAUAACAUGUUCUCGAAAAAUUCAACUUCUCUAGAUUCAAUCACAAUAUUAGACUCUAAGUCUUAUAGCAUAUAAGCUUUACUAUUGUUGGCAUAACAAACAAAAUCACACUUUAUGGCUCUUGAACCUAACUUUGUUCUAUUAGGUUCGUUUUUUUGGCAAUAUGCAAGACAUCCCCACACUUUGAAGUACCCUAUGUUGGGUUUUCUUCCUUUCCAUAACUCAUAUGGAGAUAUCUCAUUUUUCUUCAUUGGUAUUCGAUUAAGAAUGUGACAAGUGGUUAAUAACGCUUCACCCCAUAAGUUGAAAUUCAACUUAGAAAACACCAAACAUAAAAUUUAUCAUCUCUAGAUAAGUCCUAUUUUUCCUUUCGGCAACACCAUUGUGUUGUGGUGUAUAAGGUGCAGUGCACUCAUGAAUUAUACAAUUUUCUUCACAAAAUGUAUUGAAUUCAUUAGAGAAGUACACUCCUCCUCUAUCACUUCUUAGUACCUUAAUCUUGUUAUUUAGUUGAUUUUCAACUUCUAAUUUAUACAAUUUAAAAGCAUCAAAAGUUUCAUCUUUAUGCUUUAAAAGGAACACAUAGGUAUAUCUACUAAAAUCAUCUAUAACAGUAAGAAAAUACCUUUUACCACCUCUAGUUAAAACACCAUUUAAUUCACAAAGAUCACUAUGGAUUAAAUCUAGUAAAUUAGAUGAUCUUUCUACACUGGGAAAUGGUUUCUUAAUCAUUUUCGUCUUAACACAUGUUUCACAUUUACCAUAGUUUUUAAUAUUGCAUGCAAUCAUACCACAUUUUACUACUCUUUUCAUGGUUGAAAAACCUAUAUGCGAUAGUCUAAGAUGCCACAAAAAUAAAGAAUCAUACUCAACAAUAUAGGCGGAAUUAGCAUUUUUAUUGAUAACAUUGAAAGUUACAUCAUUGGUGCACAAUUUAACCAUUCCCUCACAAGAGUACCCUUUUCUCAAGAAUACAUUUGAUUUGGUAAGUAUAAGUUUACCGGACUCAAAAACGGCUUUAAUGCCGGGCUUGCCAAGCAAAUCACCACUUACCAAGUUUCUACUCAUUUCGGGAACAUAAAGUACAUUCACUAAUGUAACUUUCUUGCCGGAGGUGAAGUAGACAUCAAUAGUACCUUUACCAAGUACCUUGGAUUUGCCCUCAUUGCCCAUUUGUAUCUCAUGGCUACCCUUUGACUCUUCAAAGGUCUUGAACAAUGAUUUGUCAUAGGUGACAUGGACGAUGGCACAUGUAUCAUACCACCACCCUUUCACCUUGCCUUGGACCGCAUUCACCUCACUAAGGGUAGCAACUAUGUUUUCCUCUUGAGUUGCGUUCACCCAAAGGUUUCUCAUUACCCUUUUUCCCUUUGUUUUUGGGAUGUUUUGGUUGUGACACCGCAUUUGCUUUGGAAGUCUCACCAUUAGACCCCUCCACAAGUUUAUCUCUACAUAUCGAUUCCUCUUCGAUUUGAAUAUGUUUUUGGAUUUCCUCCAAAGAAUAAUCCUCAUUUUUAUGAAGGAUUCUUUUCCUAUAGCUCUUCCAAGUUAGUGGUAAUUUAGCCACUAUAGCACCAACUUGAAAGGCCUCGGGAAGCUCAAUCUUUAGCACUUUCAAUUUGUUAACAAUUAUUUGCAAUUCAUGAAUUUAAGGAAGAAUAGGUUUAUCACCAAAAAAUUUGAAAUCGAAGUAUUGAGAUAUCAAAAACUUUUUGGUACCUUCCUCUUCUGCCUUAAACUUUUUCUCAAGUGCAUCCCAUAUCUCCUUGGCUGAUUUGGUCUCGGUGUAGAGGUCAUAGAGCCUAUCGGAUAGGGCGUUGAUGAUAUGACCCCUACAAAGGAGAUUGUCCUCCUCCCUCUUCCUUCUCUUCUCCACCUCCUCGGGAGUGUCUUUGUCGGAUGGCUCGGCUAGAGGUGCCAAGGAAGACUCAAGGAUGUAGGCGAUUUUGAGAGUGGUUAAUAAAAACCUCACAUUGUCUUGCCACGUAGUAAAAUUGGAUCCAUCAAACCUAUCCAACCUUACUAGGUCUUGAUUCAUGAUCUUGAUGGUUUCCCCUUCCAUUGAAACAAAACAGGAAUAAGCUUUUGAAUGUUAGGAAAAAAUGUUUUGCCUCAAUGGAAAUUGAUAAUAAUAUUACAACUCUAUGCAAUAAUAUUACAAAUAAAUAUAGAUUUAUUAAAUAUUAUUACAACUCUAUAACUGAAAGUACAAAUAAACAAAAUAGAAGAAGAAGAAGAAUGGAAUAGUGAAAAAUACAACUCUAAGCAAAAGAUUACAAAUAAAGUAAAAGUGUUUGGAACACAAGAAAAGAUGAUUACAACUCUAAACAAAAUUACAUGUAAAUAAAACAAGAGGAAUGAGAAGAAAAGAAAUAGAGGAAAUUGUAAGAACAAAACAAAGAAAACUCUCACUUACACAACCUAAGUGAAGAGUGUUGGGGAUCACCAACUUGAACAAGGUUUAAAACCUUUGUCCAAAAGCUUAUUUCCCCCUAACUCAAGCACUAAGGGAUCUCUCUCAGAUAUUGGAAAAUCUUUCUAGAAUUAUCAAGCCUCAAGGUGUUUCUAGCCAAGUGCUCUAAUGAAUAGAAAUGUUGUGUCAUACAAGUGAGCUAUAGGCUCCUAUUUAUAGAGUUUAGAGACACCCUUUGAAUUUCAAAUUCAAUCAACCCCCAUGGCUGUUACCAAUGUUUAAUUGGAUUAAUAUGGAAUUAAAAAGGAGAUUUGGGAGUUAUUUGGGUUCUUUGAGCCGUUCAACAAAGAUUGAAAAAACUGGAAAAAAAAAUGGUCAGUUUUUGGCCUAUGGCCGCGGCCAGAGACAUUAGUGGCCGUGGCCAGUAGCCUCUGUCCCACAGGCCGCGGCUACCAACAUUCCGUGGCCGCAGCCACCGACCAUUUUCAGCACUAAAAAUGUGUUGUUUUUCCAAACGGUUCCAAACCCUCCCAAAUGAUUUUAUAACUCCCAAAACACAUUAUUGGGGUUAAAAUCAAAUCUCUAACAACCAUAUCACAUAUGGCUUUAUGAAAUUCAUCUCAAUAUUGUGUAACAACAAUUUUACACAAUAAAGGGUAAUAUUUGGAAGUUACAAAUUUGUAACACCAAAUAUGUUACAUCAUUUGGAUAUAUCUCAUAUAUCUAAAUAUUGCAACUCUCUAUUAUAUGUUACAAUAUGUGAUACACUUUGUCACAUUUAUUUAAUCUAAAACAUUAUAUUAUAAUAUAAUAUAAUAUUACAUUAUAUUAUAAAAUAUUAUAACAGAGGUAUGGUCUCUCUCUCUCUCUCAAGCUCUCUGUGUUAGCCUUGUUAUCUAUGAUCAAUUUGUUUGUGAUUAUUUGUCUGAAUUUUUUUUAUUCAAGUUAUAAGUUAACUAAUAUUGUAGCAUCUUAGUUUAUGCUUCAUGAGUUUUUCUCUGUUGAUGGUUGAAGUUUGUUAUGGUUUCUAUUAUGGGGUCGGAAAGUUCUCCAAAAAUUCCACUUACUGAUUACAGUAAAUUAGUUCUCUGUAGGAUUUUGUUCUGGUUUUGUGUUGUUAUACUAAUAAAAUUAAGUUGCUCUUAGUGGUUAAUGAUUUUUUUCAGUGUUUCCUUAUCCCAUUUCAUCAUCUUUAAUCUAUAGAGUUUCGGGCAGGGAUUGAAGUAUGAAUGCUAAAGAAGCUAAGCAAACAAUUACGUGGCGAGGAUUGGAAUUGGAACAACUUAAACAUAUUAUGUUGGGCAAUAGGGUCUAUAUUUGGGUUUGAUUAUGACUGUGUUGAUUCUUUAUUGCUUCUCCAUAGUUAUCUUUAGUUGAUAUUUAUGAAAUGGGUUAUCUUUAUUGAUUAUAAUUGCUUGGGUUAUAUGUCAACCUUUAGAAGACCUUGAUUGGAUAUGGAUACAGAUUGUUUAAUGAUUGCUUAUAUUGAAUUUUUUUUCUUUGUAUAUUUUACUAUAAAGGCUCCGCAACAUCACCAUAAUCUAGCUCAUCCUAUUGUAAAUUAUGAAAAUCUAGUUACAUUGGAGCCCUAGAAGCUCUCAAGAUAUUUGUUAUAUUCUUAGUUUUGUAAAUUGUUACAAGCUCCAUUGAUAAGAUCUAGAUAAUAUAUUGUGUGCUUGUGCUUGAUUAUUUGUAUUUCUGAAUACUGCCGACCUAGUGUUUUUCACACUCUAAUUGUUCUAUAAAUAUUUACAUUAUUAAGUCUUCCAGAGUAUCCAAUGGAGUUCUAUUCCAAGAUAAGAACUCAUAUGGUUCUUUCCUAUCAUUAUCUUCUAGUACUUUUAUACUAACAUAUGCUCUCAUGUGUCAGGUUGGAUCUAUUGCUGUGUUUGUAAUGAGGCAUAGAGGCCAGGUUGGAGGGGGCAGAAGUCCGUUACAGCAUAUAGUGAAUGUAAUUGCUCUAAAUAUGGUUAUUGGCUGAGGGAUUUCAGAAACUAUUAAUAGACCCACUCAAAUAUUGUCUUUCCUUUGCAUUUUCAUUCUCUAUCAUAUCGGUGCUUUCUGGUGUACUUUCUUUCUCCAUGUUGGUUGCUUUGUCCAUGGCUGAGAUUUGUUCUUCUUACCUUACUUCUGGGGGUCUCUACUAUUAGAGUACCAAGCUUGCUGGCCCAAAAUGGUCACCAUUUGCUUCAUGGAUAACUGGCUCGUAUGUAAUAAUAUUCUUUUUCUAACUGUUAACUUGGGAAAAUGUCUUUCUUCAAUUUUUUCUAGUUGACUAUUUAUACUCUGGCUUGGAGCUUUUAGAGUUUCAUUUGGGGUCUGAGACUGUAAUGCUUGCUUAGGUCUUAUAUUGUAUACAGUUUUAUUAUUUGAUUCAUAUUAUUUAAUUUGUUUAAGUACA